rnacentral:rRNA from 1 species
UACAGAGGGUGCGAGCGUUAAUCGGAGUUACUGGGCGUAAAGGGCGCGUAGGCGGUACGGUAAGUGUGACGUGAAAUCCCCGGGCUUAACCUGGGAACUGCGCCACAAACUGCCGUGCUGGAGUACUGUAGAGGGCAGUGGAAUUUCCGGUGUAGCGGUGAAAUGCGUAGAGAUCGGAAGGAACACCAGUGGCGAAGGCGACUGCCUGGACAGAUACUGACGCUGAGGCGCGAAAGCGUGGGGAGCAAACAGG